ACAAUGAAAAACAUCCAUGACAAUUGACAAAUCCCAUAUGUUUCAUAACAAGUCACAACUAUAAAUUAAAAAAAUAGAGGUCUACAAAUUAAAAAAAACAAUAGCAGGUUCUAUCAAACCAUCACAAGUCUCAAUGUCAAAUUAAAAAUCAAAAAUAAAACCUUCAAAUAGGUAGGUUCCAUCAGACCAUUAAAAGUCAUAACAAAAUAAAAAAUAAAAAUAAAACCUCCCAACAAAAUCCAAUAUUUUUCAUCACAGCUCCAAAUUAAAAAAUAGAAGUAAAACUCCUAACAAGUAGGAAGUAGUACAGCAAGCAACAAGU
rnacentral:lncRNA from 1 species